UGGGGAAUUUUGGACAAUGGGCGAAAGCCUGAUCCAGCAAUGCCGCGUGUGUGAAGAAGGCCUUCGGGUUGUAAAGCACUUUUGUCCGGAAAGAAAUCCUUGGCUCUAAUACAGUCGGGGGAUGACGGUACCGGAAGAAUAAGCACCGGCUAACUACGUGCCAGCAGCCGCGGUAAUACGUAGGGUGCAAGCGUUAAUCGGAAUUACUGGGCGUAAAGCGUGCGCAGGCGGUUUGCUAAGACCGAUGUGAAAUCCCCGGGCUCAACCUGGGAACUGCAUUGGUGACUGGCAGGCUAGAGUAUGGCAGAGGGGGGUAGAAUUCCACGUGUAGCAGUGAAAUGCGUAGAGAUGUGGAGGAAUACCGAUGGCGAAGGCAGCCCCCUGGGCCAAAUACUGACGCUCAUGCACGAAAGCGUGGGGAGCAAAACAGGAUUAGAUACCCUGGUAGUCCACGCCCUAAAACGAUGUCAACUAGUUGUUGGGGAUUCAUUUCCUUAGUAACGUAGCUAACGCGUGAAGUUGACCGCCUGGGGAGUACGGUCGCAAGAUUAAAACUUAAAUGAAUUGACGGGGUCAUAGCUGUUUCCU
rnacentral:rRNA from 1 species